GAUGAACGCUGGCGGCGUGCUUAACACAUGCAAGUCGAACGGGAUCCAAGGGGUGCUUGCACUUUUUGGUGAGAGUGGCGAACGGGUGAGUAACACGUGAGUAACCUGUCCUUUUCUUUGGGAUAAGCAUUCGAAAGGGUGUUUAAUACCUUAUGUUCUGUCUGCCUCGCAUGGGGUGGGUGGGAAAGGCUUUGGCCGGAUUUGGGUGGGCUCGCGGUCUAUCAGCUUGUUGGUGGGGUGAUGGCUUACCAAGGCUUUGACGGGUAGCCGGCCUGAGAGGGUGGUCGGUCACAGUGGGACUGAGAUACGGCCAAGACUCCUGCGGGAGGCAGCAGUGGGGGAUAGUGCACAAUGGGCGAAAGCCUGAUGCAGCGACGCCGCGUGGGGGAUGAAGGCCUUCGGGUUGUAAACUUCUUUUGCUCUGAACAAGGCAUGCCAGUGGGUGUGUUGAGUGUAGGGGUUGAUUAGCGCCGGCUAACUACGUG
rnacentral:rRNA from 1 species